rnacentral:rRNA from 1 species
CCCUUAGAUGCUCUGGGCCGCACGCGUGCUACACUGAGUGGAUCAGCGGGUCAGGUUGCGCGAAAGUGUUUCCUAAUCUUGAAAUCCGCUCGUGAUGGGGAUUGACGGUUGCAAUUUUCCGUCAUGAACGAGGAAUACCUUGUAAGCGCGGGUCAUCAUCCCGCGCUGAAUACGUCCCUGCCCUUUGUACACACCGCCCGUCGCUCCUACCGAUUGAGUGGUCCGGUGAGGCUUUGGGAUCUGAGCAAAGAGAGCGUUUCGCUCGUUUUGCCCGGAAAACUCAGUCGAACCUUAUCAUUUAGAGGAAGGAGAAGUCGUAACA